CAAAUUUCACACACCCAUCACUAAUUCUCCAUAAAUUGAAGUGUUUGGACCGAUUAAUUUGAGCAAUUUUGGAGGAUGUUCGACCUAGCCAAAUUCAAGAGGUGGAAAUCGUUUUGUGUAAAAUUUAAGCUUAAAAGGUGUUGCCUCCAACCGGAAUCAAGCCACCACCAACAUUCUCACUCUCCUUUGUAUGACUGAAACAACAAUGCACUCCCGCCGCUCUGCCUCUCAUCAUCAGCUUGCUCCUCGCCCUCUACUCUGAUGCACUUUCAACGUAGAAAUUGGGCAAAAAUCUGCGGUGUCAGAAUGAUUUGAAAUUCGCACAGUACAUGCGAAACGCAAUUUUGGAUCGAACUCAAUCUUGUUUCUUGAUUACUUUUUCGUCCAGUCGUGUUUCUCUAUACGUUUUGCAUCAUACUCCAUUGCAUCUACCAAUGUAAUCUCUCUUAUAUUUAUCUUUUUCUCCACUGGUUCAAGCAUUUUAUCUCA